ACGUAGGGGGCAAGCGUUAUCCGGAUUUACUGGGUGUAAAGGGAGCGUAGACGGCACGGCAAGCCAGAUGUGAAAGCCCGGGGCUCAACCCCGGGACUGCAUUUGGAACUGCUGGGCUAGAGUGUCGGAGAGGCAAGUGGAAUUCCUAGUGUAGCGGUGAAAUGCGUAGAUAUUAGGAGGAACACCAGUGGCGAAGGCGGCUUGCUGGACGAUGACUGACGUUGAGGCUCGAAAGCGUGGGGAGCAAACAG
rnacentral:rRNA from 1 species